rnacentral:lncRNA from 1 species
AUGUGCUCCUGGGCCCGGUGUCGCGAGGUCGUGGGUCCCGCGGACAGGAAAGGCCCUGGGCCUUUGUGUGAAUCUGACAGGACAGAGCCGGGACGAGGGGCGAGGGCCCCGGUGUGGACAGGACCUGGGGCCGCCGGUCCAGCUCGGCUGGGUUCUCACCGUCGCAGGUGGGUAGCGAGGAGGACUCCGUGGGUGGAAGGUGUCACUGUUUGCUCUUAUUACGGCGGCACAGUGGCACCAAGCGAAACUGACCGUCUCUGCUGCUUUGCGCACAGGUCAGUGCGCCGCGCACACCCACAGGCGGGGCAGAGGGCGCCCGCGUCCAGAGCUCCCUCCUCUGGCUGGUGCAGUAUUUUUCUAAAAUAUAAUGUGUCAGGGCCGGGGAUUUAGCUCAGUGGUUCUGCCGCCUGCCUUGCAAGUGCAAGGUCACGAGUUCGAUCCCUGGAACCAAAAAUAAAUAAAUAAAAAUUUAAAAAAACAUAAUAUAAUGUGUCACCUCUUAAUGAGGUUCCAGGAAGGCUCCACCCAACAGCCCCACACAGCCUAGAUACGCAGGUGGCGUUGGAUCUUCAACUCAAUCACCUCUGGAAUCCCUGACAUUUCUGGGAUGCCAGCUCCAGAAUUAGGAAGGGUUAUUUGUAACCGUUUCCCAGUGCGCUACCAACACGCACAUUUCUAAUUCUGGUUUCACCGUACAUUAGGAAGCAAGCUCUCUUGCUACUCCUUUCAGACUGGAGUUGUGGCUGGUGGAUCGCCUAUAGGUCACCUCCCAGGACCACACUCUUAGGACCUGUUACAUGUCUAAAGCUGGAGAGGAAACAGAACUGUGUUUAUCCGGGUUACUCCAGUGUCCCCAGGCUCUUGUCCGAUGACUACCACAGAUGCCCAGGGUUCUUAAUGUGUACUUAAAUAAAACAUGACCACACAAAGACGCCCAACAUCAUUACGCAACAGGAAACUUCGGUGAGCGCACACGUCACACCCACCGCGGAGACUGGAAUAAGUGGGAGGGAUGUGGGGUUUGCAGCCCCUCAUAUCCAGCUGAUGGGAAUGUGAAACAAUGUGCCACCACUAUGGAAAACAGUCUGAUGGGUCCUUACAGGUAAAGAGACCACAUGACCCAGCCACUGUGCUCCUGAAUAUAUACCCAAGAAAAAUACACAGAAAUUCAUACACCAGUUUUAUAGCAUUGUUACUAAAAAUACUCUGAAAGUGAAACAAGUGAGAUGUCCAUCAACAGAUGAAUGUAUAACAAAUGUGGUGUAUCUAUACAAUGGAAUAUUACUCAACCAUAAUAAUGGAAUCCUGAUACAUGCUAGAACAUGGAUGGACAUUAAAAACAUUAUGCCAGUGAAACAUUAAGUGAAAGAAGCCAGUCACAAAAGGCCACCUAUUAAAUGAUGUCGUUUA